CUGUAGAACACACCCCUUAUUCACUGUGUGGAAGGAAAUUGCGAGGGAUGGAGUAAAAUGUGGGUGGGGGUUGUGGCUUGGGGUGGGUGGCGACAGCCCAGGCACUGGUGGGCAUGGCCUGACGACUCCUGAGUUGGGUUUGUGGUAAAUGUACUUUCUAUUCUCCCCCCAUCCUCCCCCCUACUCCCCCGGUGCUGAGACUACAGUGUUUGCACAGUGGACGCGACCCCAGGGCCCCUGUGGCAUUCUAAUGAGCCCCGCCGCUAUCGCCGCUGUGGGUGAUGUCAUUCCCGUGGAGACCGAGCGCUGGCCCUGCAAAGGGGUGACGUCGUAAGAUAAAUAACCGGCAAAGCCACAUAGUGCAUCACGGUUACUCUCGCUUUGUCCGUCCCUCUGUUGACGGUUUUUAGCCAGUUGGACUCACAGCUGCUCGGCCGGGCUCGGUACAGCCGUUAAUCUGACUGUUCCCAUGGCAGUGGGCGGGGCUUUCAGCUCUUGGGGGAGCGUAAUGCGAUUUCAGCUGCCGAUCUGAACAGGAACCUCUGGUCCUGUUCCUGUUCCCCUCAUAAGAUCAGGGGGGAAUCGCGGGGCAGGGGGAGCGGAAAGUGCUUGCCGUUGGGAGAUCUCAUGUCUUCUUUUCAUACCUGUGGGCUGGUAUGAUUGCUGCAUCCCAGUGUUGCUGUUUUAUGGGCCUUAAAGGUGGGUGAAACAAGCCCUCGGAGACUAAAAGUCUAGACUAAAGUGCAAAGCAUGGGAUGGGGUGGGGACACUCCGAGGUGUGCAGGGACAGUCCGAGAUGUGCAGGGACACUCCGAGAUGUGCAGGGACAGUCCGAGAUGUGCAGGGACACUCCGAGAUGUGCAGGGACACUCCGAGGUGUGCAGGGACAGUCCGAGAUGUGCAGGGACACUCCGAGAUGUGCAGGGACACUCCGAGGUGUGCAGGGACACUCCGAGAUGUGCAGGGACACUCCGAGGUGUGCAGGGACAGUCCGAGGCGUUUGGGGACAGUCCGAGGCGUGUGGGGACCGUUUGAGGUGUGCAGGGACUGUCCGAGGCACUUAAAGACACUCGGAGGUGCUUGGGGACACAUCGGGGCUGUGUGACCAUGCUAGCUUCUUGGUCUGCUCUCGGUGUCCCUGCCCACGGUGCACGGGCUUGACCAGGGGCUGGCGCUUGAUGUCAGUCCCUCUGAUUGGGGAAUAAGUGACUCUUCAGGUCCCCUCCAAGUGGGCACCCUCCGUGGUAGAGGCGUGCCAUCAUCAGGGGCAUCGGAGGGGUGGCACACAUGUGAUGCCCAGUGUUCCCCAGAGUCGCAUGAUGACGACGAUCUUCUCACUGCAGUGGGAGUGCAGAUGAAGCAGUGGGAGCGCAGAUGAAGCAGUGGGAGCGCAGAUGAAGCAGUGGGAAUGCAUAUGAAGCAGUGAGAGCACAGGUGAAGCAGUGGGAGUGCCGAUGGAGCAAUGGGAGCACAGGUGAAGCAGUGAGAGCACAGGUGAAGCAGUGGGAGCGCAGAUGAAGCAGUGGGAGCGCAGAUGAAGCAGUGGGAGCGCAGAUGGAGCAGUGGGAAUGCAGAUGGAGCAGUGGGAGCGCAGAUGGAGCAGUGAGAGCACAGGUGAAGCAGUGGGAGCGCAGAUAGAGCAGUGGGAGCGCAGAUGAAGCAGUGAGAGCACAGGUGAAGCAGUGGGAGCGCAGAUAGAGCAGUGGGAGCGCAGAUGAAGCAGUGAGAGCACAGGUGAAGCAGUGGGAAUGCAGAUGUAGCAGUGGGAGCAUAGGUGAAGCAGUGGGAGCGCAGAUGGAGCAGUGGGAGCGCAGAUGGAGCAGUGUGAGCGCAGAUGUAGCAGUGGGAAUGCAGAUGGAGCAGUGGGAGUGCAGAUGGAGCAGUGAGAGCACAGGUGAAGCAGUGGGAGCGCAGAUGGAGCAGUGGGAGCGCAGAUGAAGCAGUGAGAGCACAGGUGAAGCAGUGGGAAUGCAGAUGUAGCAGUGGGAGCACAGAUGGAGCAGUGGGAGCGCAGAUGGAGCAGUGGGAAUGCAGAUGAAGCAGUGAGAGCACAGGUGAAGCAGUGGGAAUGCAGAUGUAGCAGUGGGAGCACAGGUGAAGCAGUGGGAGCGCAGAUGGAGCAGUGGGAGCGCAGAUGGAGCAGUGGGAGCACAGGCCUGCCUGGUGUUCCCGACGGUCCAUUUGGAUGGUCAGUGUACAUCGGACACAGUUUCCAUAUUUGCAGAACCUGCAUGGAAUUGGACUUUGGCGCAUCACAGUUUCUGUUCCGCUCUGGGCCCUCUGUCGCCCCCUAGCAGGAAGUGACACAGGAGUUCGGGCAUCAAGCCGGUGCCGUCUCCUGUCCAGCUGCUCAUGCCCGUGAUCCCAAUACACUUGUCAGUUGGGUCGCCUCACGGAGAAGGACCCCUCCCAUGUCACACUGUAAACAAACCCAUCAGCUGACCCUGAUUUCGACCCCAAGGUGCGUUGGGCCACAGAUGCCUCCUUAGUUGAAGUUUCUCCCCAGAACUCUGUCAGGCUGAGUGAUUUGGAUCCGGAGUGAAAUAUGCAACACGGCUGACCUUUGACCCCUUAACGAGCCGUCGGUGUGACGAGAAUGCUUCAGGGAGUGGCAGGACUAAAAAGUGCCGUAUUGUCACGGUGGAUGCGGCCAACGUGAGCCCCGGAUGUCCCCUAGAGCAGCCGGAGCGUGGAGCUGCCGGUCGCGAGGUGACAGGAAGUGCGGCUCGGGGGGUUCGCUUCUGCUGGACGCUGAUGCCAGGUUCUGGCGAGCUGCUCGUGGGCCGGGUUCCUGACUGUGUGUGUGUGUGUGUGUGUGUGUGUGUGUGUGUGUGUGUGUGUGUGUGUGCAUGAGCUCGUCUCUUAAUGGGCACAAAAUGUAGUGCAAUUUAUGGAGGUGUGACCCCCCCCACCCAACAAAAUCCAACUGUUUAUGCAGCUGCGUCUAUUACUUUGAGGACCUAAAAUCACACAAAUGUCUCAUUUUUAUCCACGUUUUGUGCAUUAACAUGAGAUCCAGUGGGACGUCAGUUAUUAGAAAGCAUGUGCGUGUCUGUGUGUGUGUCAGUGUGUGUCAGUGUGUGUCAGUGCGUGUGUCAGUGCGUGUCAAUGCGUGUCUCUGUUUGUGUCAGUGCGUGCCUGUGUGUGUCAGUGCAUGUGUAUGUCAGUGCGUGUGUCAGUGUGUGUCAGUGCAUGUGUCAAUGCGUGUCUCUGUUUGUGUCAGUGAAUGUGUAUGUCAGUGCGUGUGUCAGUGCGUGUCAGUGCGUGUGUCAGUGCGUGUCAAUGCGUGUCUCUGUUUGUGUCAGUGCGUGCCUGUGUGUGUCAGUGCAUGUCUCUGUCAGUGCGUGUGUGUGUGUCAGUGCAUGUGUGUGUCAGUGCGUGUCUCUGUGUCAGUGCGUGUCUGUGUGUGUGUCAGUGCGUGUCUGUGUGUGUCAGUGCAUAUGUGUGUGUCAGUGCGCGUCUGUGUGUGUGUCAGUGUGUGUGUCAGUGCGUGUCUGUGCGUGUAUGUCAGUGUGUGUGUGUCUGUGUGAAUCUGUGCCCCCUGUGGAAGUGCAUUACCAUUAUGUUACUUAUGCAAAUAGCUGAUGAGCGCACACUCAGAUUUCUCUUUGAAGUAACACCGCCCCCCGCAUUCCUGUUCAAUGGUUAUUCAACCCAGAAGCCCCUCCCCAGAGAUGCUAUCUGGGGCCGCUGCAUGGGGGGAUCCGGGAGGAUUUAAGUGCUGAACGUGAAAAUCAGCGUUUGUUUGAAGUGAAAGUUCAAACGAGCGGCAUGCAAGGCUUCUGAGUCCCGGGGCGAUGAGAUCGCAGGAGGCUCCCUAGUUUUUACGGUCGUUUAUAUCACGGUCUGCCGCGGAACACGGGCCCAGCACUCUGAGUGGGAACUUCAAUAUCGGGUUCAUUUAAAUGUCAGCAUUGAAGAAGCUCAAGGGUGACAGAGGACGGAAUGCAAGAGUGACCAAGGGGCGUGGCGGCAUAAAACAUCCGAGGGUCCAAAUGCAGGUUCGGACCCGAUAAAUGCACUGCAUCUCACCACACCCUGACUGCGAUCCUGCUAGGACCCCAAGCUUCUGCCUUCCCAUCAGCCCCAGGGGCUGUGGCGCGUAAAAGCAUCUCUGUGUGCCACAGUAGUGCCAUUAUCUUGCGGCCUUAUCAGCUUCCUCUUCUGCGCCGAGGGGCCAUACGACUGCAAUCGCGUGCAGUUUCGAUAUCACUCUGCCUCCUUGAACUCAGACCGUUCAGAAUGGGGGGGGGGUUCUGUACAUAACCGUUCGUUUUCUUUGCUUCCUCCCCUGACGACAACAUUCUCGUAAUGAGUCACAGGAGGUGCUAAACAAAACGAGCUGUGCUGGAAUACUCAAAACGUGGAUUGACCCGGGAUGGAUUUCUUUAGUACAGAAAUCAAUAGCGCAACAGGAUUUCGCCACAGACAGCAGCGGAGCGAGACGGUUAUAAAUUUAGGGAGAGCUUCCAGUCUUUUGAGAUGUCAUUCAUGUGU